CCUACGGGUGGCUGCAGUCGAGAAUCAUUCACAAUGGGGGAAACCCUGAUGGGGCGACGCCGCGUGGGGGAAUGAAGGUCUGCGGAUUGUAAACCCCUGUCAUGUGGGAGCAAAUUAAAAAGAUAGUACCACAAGAGGAAGAGACGGCGAACUCUGUGCCAGCAGCCGCGGUAAUACAGAGGUCUCAAGCGUGGGUCGGAAUCACGGGGCGUAAAGAGUGCGUAGGCUGUUUCGUAAGUCGUGUGUGAAAGGCGCGGGCUCCACCCGCGGACGGCACCUGAUACUGCGAGACUAGAGUACUGGAGGGGGAACCGGAAUUCUCGGUGUAGCCGU
rnacentral:rRNA from 1 species